UGGGGAAUCUUGCACAAUGGGGGCAACCCUGAUGCAGCGACGCCGCGUGAGCGAUGAAGCCCUUCGGGGCGUAAAGCUCUUUCGACCGGAACGAUAAUGACGGUACCGGGAGAAGAAGCUGCGGCUAACUACGUGCCAGCAGCCGCGGUAAUACGUAGGCAGCAAGCGUUGUUCGGAGUUACUGGGCGUAAAGAGUGCGUAGGCGGUUUUCUAAGUUCGGUGUGAAAUCUCCCGGCUUAACUGGGAGGGUGCGCCGAAGACUGGGAAGCUGGAGUGUGGGAAAGGCAGGCGGAAUUCCUGGUGUAGCGGUGAAAUGCGUAGAUAUCAGGAGCAACACCGGCGGUGUAGACGGCUUGCUAGACCAUAACUGACGCUGAGGCACGAAAGCGUGGGUAGCAAACA
rnacentral:rRNA from 1 species